UGGAGGCAGCAGUGGGGAAUCUUGCGCAAUGGGCGAAAGCCUGACGCAGCGACGCCGCGUGGGGGAAGAAGGCCUUAGGGUUGUAAACCUCUUUCAGGUGGGACGAAGCCACUCGGGUUAAUAGCCCAGAGGGUGACGGUACCGCCAGAAGAAGCCCCGGCUAACUACGUGCCAGCAGCCGCGGUAAUACGUAGGGGGCAAGCGUUGUCCGGAUUUAUUGGGCGUAAAGAGCGUGUAGGCGGCCAGGUAGGUGGGUUGUGAAAACUGGAGGCUCAACCUUCAGACGUCGACCCAAACCCCCUGGCUAGAGUCCGGAAGAGGAGAGUGGAAUUCCUGGUGUAGCGGUGAAAUGCGCAGAUAUCAGGAAGAACACCCGUGGCGAAGGCGGCUCUCUGGGACGGUACUGACGCUGAGACGCGAAAGCGUGGGGAGCGAACAGGAUUAGAUACCCCCGUAGUCCU
rnacentral:rRNA from 1 species